rnacentral:lncRNA from 10 species
GGGAAGAAGCAGAGUUGCUCUUUUGCUCUUUCACAUGUGAGGACACAGUAAAAGGCUGUCAUCAGAUGCCAAAACCUUGGUCUUCGACUUCUCAGCCUCCAGAACGUGUAUCCUUCUGCAGCCCAGGCGAGAGUGCAGUGGCAUGGUCACAGCUCAAUGCGCUCGACUUCCUGACUUCAUGAGCUCAAGUAAUCCUCCUCUUUCAGCCUCCUGAGUAGCUGAGACCACAGGAACACAGCACCACAACUGGUUAAUUUUUAAAAAUAUUUUUGUAGAGACAGGGUCUUGCUACGUUGCCAGGCUGGUCACAAACUCCUGGGCUCAAGCAAUUCACCCUUUUGGUUUCCCGAAGUUCUAGAAGUACAGGCAUGAGACACUGUGCCCAGCUCGUAUACAUAUUUUUGAGAGCUAGGUAUGGACAGGCCAAUUCCCCA